GAUGAACGCUAGCGGCAGGCUUAAUACAUGCAAGUCGUGGGGCAGCAGGUCUGUAGCAAUACAGAUGCUGGCGACCGGCAAACGGGUGCGUAACACGUACGCAACCUUCCCGUUACUGUGGCAUAGCCCAGGGAAACUUGGAUUAAUACCACAUAUUAUAUUGGAGAGGCAUCUCUUUGAUAUCAAAGCUUCGGCGGUAACGGAUGGGCGUGCGGUUGAUUAGGUAGUUGGCGGGGUAACGGCCCACCAAGCCUACGAUCAAUAGCUGAUGUGAGAGCAUGAUCAGCCACACGGGCACUGAGACACGGGCCCGACUCCUACGGGAGGCAGCAGUAAGGAAUAUUGGGCAAUGGACGCAAGUCUGACCCAGCCAUGCCGCGUGAAGGAUUAAGGUCCUCUGGAUUGUAAACUUCUUUUCUCUGGGGCGAAAACCAUCUAUUCUUAGGUGUUUGACAGUACCAGAGGAAUAAGCACCGGCUAACUCCGUGCCAGCCGCCGCAGUAAUAC
rnacentral:rRNA from 1 species